AAAAUAAGAAUAAGAACUGGGCCUAAACGUCAUUCAUUUUUUUCUCUAAAAGGUAUUUUUGAUUUCACAUGAAAUAAUAAAUUGUUAUCUUAUUUUGAAACGGUUUACAGAGCAUGAGAGCAAGCUUAUGCUAGCUGCCAGCCUGCCAGCUGAUUCGCAAUUUCUCAAAUAAGCAAAGAAAAAGAAGUCCUUCCUUCUGAGUUCAGUGAUUGUGCUGUUGUGUUAAAUUUUAAUUACGAUUGAAGUAUUUUCAAACUAAAUUCUAAUAUUGAACUCAUUUUAUAGUUUUGGUUUAAUCUUUAUAGUCGAUUAUUCAUGGAUAUCAGCUUCUAAGGUAAUUGUGUUUGAAAUCCAAGACCAGUGGUAAUUCAACUUGGUCGCCAUGCCGAAUUUAUUUAUUGUUCGUUAGGUUAAUACUUUUUAAAAAGCAUCGUGACAAUUGUGCUAAAACUUGCUUUGGUUUUUGUAAAGUAUGAAUUCCAAUAAAGAUACAAAUCGUCGUGUAUUAGCUAUACAAGCUAAGAAAAAACGACACAAACCAGCAAAGUGGAAAUCUAAGAAUGAAGAACAUACAAAUUCUACCACACCUAAGGAUAAUGUAGGCCUAAUGAAUUCUAGCAAAGCGGAUCCAAGCAACUCGUCUUCAAAUGAAACUAUUGAAGAUAACGAGGACGAAGGUCCAUACUCUUCGGAAGAAGAAGAACAAGAAGAUUCUUCGGACUAUUGCAAAGGAGGAUAUCAUCCAGUGAAAAUAGGCGAUGUAUUCCGGAGUAGAUAUCAUGUAACAAGAAAGUUGGGUUGGGGCCAUUUUUCUACAGUUUGGCUUUGUUGGGAUCUGGUUGAUAAGAGGUUUGUAGCCUUGAAAGUUGUAAAGAGUGCGCCUCAUUUCACGGAAACAGCUUUAGAUGAAAUAAAGCUUCUUAAAAUUGUUCGUGACAGUGAUCCCAACGAUAAAAAGAGGGAAAAAGUAGUCCAGUUACUGAAUGAUUUUAAAAUUUCUGGUGUCAAUGGAACACAUGUAUGUAUGGUUUUUGAAGUGCUUGGACAUACUUUGUUGAGACUUAUUAUUAAAAGUAAUUAUAGGGGCAUUCCACCUUUUAAUGUAAAAAGGAUAAUAAGGCAAGUUCUUGAAGGAUUGGACUAUUUGCAUACAAAGUGUCGUAUAAUUCAUACUGAUAUAAAGCCCGAAAAUAUCUUGCUGUGUGUCGGUGAAAGUUAUAUCAGAAAAUUGGCAUGUGAAGCUAGGGACCUUCAUCUAACGGGAGGGAAGCUACCUGUUUCUCAUGUGAGUACUGCUCCUAAGGAGUUCCAAGAACAAACACCAAACUCAAAAAUGUCAAAGAAUCGUAAAAAGAAGUUAAAGAAGAAAGCUAAACGACAUACUGAACUCCUCAAACAACAAAUGCAACACAUUGAAGAAUUGGAAGAACAAAAAAUCUCGUCGACAGUUGAAAUGAAAGAUGACAACUUGUUUCCUGUCACACCAAUCAAAGAUAGCAGUCUCAUUGAAAUUGAUGAUGAUGAAAAUGCGUUGGACGCCUCAAAAAAUGAAAAUAUGUAUGAAAAUGGUUGUGAUGAGGUAAUGGUAGUAAGUGAAGAAGGUGGUUCGGGAGAAAAAACCAAAAGUGUUGAUUUGAACAGGUGUUCGCCGCUGCUUGACAGCCCUCUCAACAUGGCUUCCAACGUAGCUUGUGCAGGGGAAAACGCAAGUGUAGCCAGAGAAGAAGAUUCGCCUUUAUUCUCACCUCAGAACUCUGAAAGGAAAUAUGAUGAAAACGACUGCAACCCAGCAUAUUGGGCGUGUGAUGUGGAUGUGAAGAUAGCUGAUUUGGGCAACGCGUGUUAUGUGAAUAAUCAUUUCACGGAUGAUAUUCAGACUCGUCAGUAUAGAUCAUUGGAGGUGUUGAUUGGAGCUGGAUAUGAUACAUCAGCUGACAUCUGGAGCACUGCUUGUGUUGCUUUCGAAUUGGCCACUGGUGAUUAUUUAUUCGAACCGCACGCCGGAGAGCAUUAUACAAGAGAUGAAGAUCAAUUGGCUCACAUCAUUGAACUUCUUGGUGAUAUUCCAGAAAGUGUUAUUAACUCGGGCAAACAUUCUAAACAGUUUUUCAACAAAAAAGGAGAAUUGAAGCACAUCAGAGGGCUAAAGCCGUGGGCGUUGGAUGAUGUUCUCAUCGAGAAGUAUCACUGGUUGCCGAAAGAGGCGGCAGAGUUUUCAUCUUUUCUGCGUCCCAUGUUGGAAUUCGAUUAUCGUCGUAGAGCUACGGCGGCUGAAUGCCUGAACCAUCCCUGGCUGAAGUGUUGAAACUGAUUUUUUCAAGCACUGCAGCAUUUAUUACGUUUAGUUAUCUUUCAAAAUUCCUUGUAAAAACUAUCUUAGUUUUUUUUAAUAGUUCAUUGUGACAUUUUUCGUUUUUCUACUUCCACUGUUUGAAAUUGAGUUCUUAGCUGAAUGACAAAACAUAGUUCAUAAAGCUUAUGCAAAUUUUUAACACAACAUUUUAAUCAGAAUAAAUUGUGACAAGUUAAAUUUGACUCAAAAAUAUCACUUUUUGCUGAAGGAAAUAUCAAUCAUAAAAUUGAGAUGGGAAUUUUUAAAGUUUGCGUUGUUGGAGCCGGAAUAGUGGGGUUGACAACUGCGCUUGAAAUUCAAAGUACGUUUCCAUCAGCUGACGUGUGCCUGAUUGCUGAUCAAUUCAACGAAGCGACGACAAGUGACGGAGCCGCGGGACUCUUUCGACCCGGCAUCAGCUUCUGUGGGCCCGAUCUUCAAAUCACAAAAACCAUUUGUUGGAAGAUGUGGUGCCCAUCUACCGUCCUGCUACCAAUGGGGAGCUCAAGUUGUGCCCGGGCCAAUGGCAGUACGGCUCUUACUUCACCACUCUCCUUGUCGAAUGUCGACGCUUUCUGCCCUGGGCGCUCAACAGGUUCAAGAACAAUGGCGGUCGAGUUGUAAAGAAGUUAAUUCAAAGCUUUGACGAAAUACCUGGCGACUUUGAUGUGAUCAUGAACUGCACAGGAUUUGGUGCCAAAUACUUAUGUAAAGAUAUAAAAAUGGUUCCGAUACGCGGGCAGGUAAUAAAGGUGAAAGCUCCUUGGCUACAAACCUUCUACUACGGUGAUUAUGACACUUACAUCAUACCAGGAUUUGAGGGGAAUGUGACGCUCGGCGGUUGCCGGAAUUUCGACAGCUAUGACGUGUCGUUGAGUAGAUACGACAGAGCAGCCAUCAUGGAGCGUUGCUGUUCGCUUGUGCCGGAGCUGAGUGCGGCUCCCGUCGUCCGAGAAUGGGUCGGGCUGCGACCGCAUCGAGACCCUGUACGCGUUCACUUUGAGAAACUCGCAAACAAAAAGAUAGUUCACAACUAUGGUCACGGAGGCUAUGGAGUAACCUCAGCACCAGGAACAGCAAAGCAUGCAGUUUCAAUUCUGCUGAAGGCUCUUUCAAGCAGCGCAAACUCCAAAUUAUGAAUUCCUCCCAUUCUUGAUUCAAAACAAAUAUAUUUAUAUAAAAAAUGUUAUUGUAUUGAUAAAUAAUAUAGUUUGCAUUGCAUAUAUUGUGGUAUCUUCCAAACAAAAGCUAGUUCAGACUCAAGAAAACCAAAGAUUAUUGGAAGUCUACUCGUAUACGAGUAUGUUUUUCUCACCAGAAUUGGGUUUUCAAAUUGCAGCUAGCUUUGAUGAGAUCGUGAAGGCUUCUAUACCUUCAAAAUAGUACUUAGCACCUUAUAUCAUAUAAAAUUGAAACCUUAACAAUAUGAAUCCUCUCGUAGAUAGGUAACUUAGAAAUAAAAAUUCAUUGUGAUUGAUAUAUCUUAUUAUAAAAAUGUUAUUCUUAAAAAUUGGAUGAUGACUAAUAAUUAGUUUCAUUAAAUGAGAAGAGGUCGUCCCAGCAGUAAAUCCCGUUUUUAAUCACACAGAUUAGAUGAGCGCAGUGCCUUUAGCUCUCCCAUUGGCUCAAAGCCAGUACCUUGAGCAGAAAUGCGCUUCAAUAUCACUAUUGAACCAACCUCAAACUACUUUAGAUCAAUUCAUCUCUCAUUAACACACCUAUCACUAUUCAGACAAGACUAAGGCUUAUGUAGGUGUCAUCCUCAGCAAUCUUACAAGCAAAAUGUACUGAACAUCUUUGUCAGUAAUCAAUGCUGGUUCUUUCUGAACUUUAUUCAUUAAAUAAUAUAAUAGGAUUCACAUUUUUACAUAACCUGAUGUUAACUACAUUAUGAUAUUAUAUAGAAUUUGGAGAUUUUUACCAUAAUAUUAUGAAAACAAAAUUUAUAAUUUUCUAGAAGAAGAGUAGAGUUGUUUAUACUGUAUUAUGAAUGAAACUGUGAAAUGAGUAGCCUACAUAACGUUUUUAUUUGAAGACACCAAUAUUUAUAGUAUUGUAUUUGUAUGAUAUCCUCAUGAUAUUAGAGAUUAAGAAGUGUAUAUUCAGCAAUGUUUAGUAUAGGUAGAUCAAUGGCAAAAAAUUAUUCGUAUUGAACAUCUAAUACACAUCCUUUUUGUUUCAAUACACUGCACGUAUUUUGACAUGAUGCAUUACUCCAAUGAAUAAUAGAAGUUUAGUAUUGUUAUUAUUGAAAAAACUAACUUAGAACAGUUGACUCUAUUUCCUUGAUAAUUUUGAUUUUGAAGUUCUAGAAACUCCAAAUAAAUUCAAUAACUAUUGUUAAUCUUCCACAAUCUACUAGUGCAUCUUCAAAGAUUUAAUCAAUCUAUUUAUUGUAGAAAUUUAUAUACUCAUUUAAUUCCCCUUAUCUGAAUUACUGAUGUUAGUUAUUCACAAUUCGUGAUUUACGAUUGAUUGUUCACUAAUAAUAGUCAUGAAAUUGUGAGAGAUAUUUACGAAAAUUCUCGUUAAACUUGAUUUUUUUAUAAAAUUGGAAAGCUUCGAGUCUAAAAUAAAUAGUCCCCGAUGGGUCAAAUGUUUUUUCAUCUACUAUCGAACAUUCGUGGCUCAAGCUAAUGGUAUGCUAUCAUUUUACUUAUACUUCAUAAUGUCAACAAACUAUUCUCUUUGCCAAGAAAAUGCUGAAUUCAUCGCAAUCUUCGCCAAACCUUUUACUUUAACUCUACAGUCUGCUGAAACCUUAAUUCUAGCAACGUUCUUGGUAUGUUUAUCUCGAGUCACUGACCUUAUAAAAGAGCCUAUUCAUUUAUUUAUUCAAAAAAUCACUUCAAUUUUACAUUAAUUCAUAUUUGCCUUUUUUCAUUGUUCUUUAAAUAGUGUGAUAAAGAUGGAUAAUGUUAUGAAUUAGUGGCCUUGAGGCAUAUACAAUAUAAUAAUGUAGGUUGUAAUAAUUUCAAAAUGAAGAAUUUUCUAUCUAAUAACAUUCAACUGGAUCAUGUAUAAUACUCAGAAUUGUUUUAAAUAAUCUAUUUUUGUGCUCACAAGAAUGCUUAUAGUAUAGUGCAUAGUGUACAGAUGAUGUAAAUAUAUUAUUUUCUUGGAAUUACAUCACUCUUAUGGUUAGUUUUGUGUGUUUAAAGUAGUUCAUGUCUUUUUCAUCUUUUUGGAUUGUUCGUUAAUUUGCAUUCAGAUGUUUCUUAUCACAGUAUAUAAAAAGUACGAGGGCAGGCUGAUAAGUAAUGCCCACAUCCUCUUAGAAGACUAACUAAAUUAAAUUAUAGAUAUGUGGUAAAUAAAAAUAAUUGUAAAAACACUUGAUUCACAUGGGCUACUUUUUAAGUUAAUAAAAACAAUAUAAAAAUC